rnacentral:rRNA from 1 species
AGAUAUCGAUCUUGGCUCAGGAUGAAUGCUGGCGGCAUGCUUAACACCUGCAAGUUAGACAGGAAGUGGUGUUUUCAUUGGCGGACAGGUGAGUAACGCAUAAGAACCUACCCUUGGGAGGGCAACAAUAACUGGAAAUGGUUGCUAAUACCUCGUAAGCUGAGGAGCAAAAGGAGGAAUCCACCUGAGGAGGGGCUCACAUCUGAUUAGCUAGUUGGUGAGGCAAUAGCUUACCAAGGUGAUGAUCAGUAACUGGUCUGAGAGGAUGAUCAGCCACACUGGGACUGAGACACGGCCCAGACUCCUACAAGAGGCAGUAGUGGAGAGUUUUUUGCAAUGGGCGAAAGCUUGACGAAGCAAUACCACGUGGAGGUAGAAGGCCCACGGGUCGUGAACUUUUUUUCUCAGAGAAGAAGCAAUGAUGGUAUUUGAGGAAUAAGCAUCGGCUAACUCUAUGCUAAUAGCCAUGGUAAGACAGAGGAUGCAAGCAUUAUCUAGAAUAAUUGGGCGUAAAGCGUCUGUAGGUGGCUUUUCAAGUCUGCCAUCAAAUCCAGGGCUCAACCCUGGACAGGCGAUGGAAACUACCAAGCUGGAGUACGGUAGGGGCAGAGAAAAUUUUUGGUGGAGCAGUGGAAUGCGUAGAGAUUGAAAAGAAUACCAACGGUGAAAGCACUCUACUGGGCCGACACUGAUACUGAGAGACGAAAGCUAGGGGAGCAAAUGGGAUUAGAUACCCCAGUAGUCCUAGUCGUAAACGAUGGAUACUAGGUGCUGUGCGUAUCGACCCAUGCAAUGCUGUAGCUAAUGCAUUAAGUAUCCUGCUUGGGGAGUACGUUCGCAAGAAUGAAACUUACAUAUAUCCGAACCUUGAUAGAUCAUCAGUAAAGAUGAUAAAAUAAGAGUAUCUUCCUUUGGCCUGAGUUGUCAUCAGUCCACAUACAUCUGUUAGUACUAGGGCUAACAACUCAUUCACCCACUCUCCAUGUCCAGAAAAUGGAGUCUUGGUAAUCUUACUCAUGAGACAAGAUUCAUAAGUUUCCAAUGAUUCAUAAUCAUACGGGUCAAAAAAUUCUUCUUUGUAUAACUUGUUUAUCCUUGACUCACUAAUAUGACCAAAGUGACAAUACCAGAUAUAUGCGAUAUUCAUAUAUAUAUUUUUUAUAUUUUUUAAUAUAAAAAAUAUUUUUAUUGAGUACAAGAAUUAAAAGAUUGUUAUCAAUAUUGUUGGGAAUAGUAUCCCAAAGUCAAUCAUCAGCCUGUUGACGGUUGUGCUCAUUUUUGUAUAUGUACAUGAAUUAUGAAUUAAAAAAAAUUAUUUUGAUAUUUUUCAUCACAAAAUGUUUCAUCUUCUAAUGAACUCCUAUGUUGUGGUGAAGUACUUAGGACUAUUUAGACUCGACAAAGGAGGAU